UUUUUUUUUUUUUUUUGGCUGUACCCAUAGUAUAUGGAAGUUCCCACGCCAUGGAUCAAACCCAGGCCAGGGCUGUAACCAGAGCCACUGCAGUGAAAACACUGGAUCCCUAACCCACAGAGUCACAAGGGAACUCCAGUGGAGGAUAAGACACUGAUUAAAGAUUCACUUUUGGAGUUCCCAUCACGGCUCAGAGGAAACAAAUCUGACCAGGAACCAUGAGGUUGCAGGUUCGAUUCCUAGCCUCGCUUAGUAGGUUAAGGAUCCAGCAUUGCUGUGACCUGUGGUGUAGGUAACAAAUGCAGCUUGGAUCCCAUGUUGCUAUGGCUGUGGCAUAGGCCAGCAGCUGUAGCUCCAAUGUGACCCCUAGUCUAUAAACUUCCAUAUUCUGUACUUGCAGCCCUAAAAAAAAACCAAAAAACAAAAAAAAACCCACCCCCUCAAGACCAUAGUAGAUAACUGUUUCUCCUAAACUCAUAGAGACAGAGAGUAUUAAAUGAAUAGGCAGUGGAAUUAUUCCCAAUUAAAAGAGCAAGAGAAAUCCCCUGAAAGAACAAAUAAUGAAACAGAGUUCACCAGUCUACUAAACGGAGUUCAAAAAGGUAGUAAUAAAAGUGCUAACUGAAUUAAGAAGGAUUAUUCAGUAGCAAGGCAGAUCACUGUAACAAGAAACUAGAAACUAUAAAGAUAAACCAAUCCAAAAUAGACAAUUCAAUUGGUUAGAUGAAAACCAACCCAGAAGCAAUCAAUAGUCAGCUAAAUGAUGUGGAAGAAUGAAUAAGUGAUUGGAAGAUAGAAUAAUGGAACUAAGCCACUUAGAAUAGCAGACAGAAAAGACAAAUGAAAAAAAUAUAAACAUACAAGAUCUAUGGGAUAACAUAAAACAUGCCAACCUAUGUAUAAUAGGAGUUCCAGAGGAGAACAGAGAGAGAAGGGGAUCAAAAAAUGCAUUUGAAGCAAUCAUUGCUGAAAAUUUUCCAAACCUCAUGAAGGCAAUAGAUAGGAUUUUCCAUUGUGGCUCAGUGGCAACAAACUGGUCUAGUAUCCACAAGGACACGGGUUUGAUCUCUUGCCUUGCUCAGUGGAUUAAGAAUCUGGUGUUGCUGACAGCUGUGGUGUAGGUUGCAGACAUGGUUCAGAUCCUACGUUGCUGUGGCUGUGGUGUAGGCCAGCAGCUGCAGAUCUGAUUCAACCCCUAGCCUGGGAACUUCUAUAUGCCAUAGGUGUGGCCCUAAAAAGACACACACACACACCCCUAGAAAUCCAGGUACAGGAAGCACAGAGGCUCCAGAACAAGAUAAACCCUCACAUCAAGAUAUCUUAAUUCAAAUGGCACAAGUUAAGGAGAGAUUCUAAAGGCAGCAAGAGAAAAUCAGUUACAAGGGUCCACCUCCAAAAAGGCUAUCAGCUGAUGACUCAGAAGAAACUCUGCAGGCCAGAAGGGAAUUGCAUGAAACGGUCAAAGUGCUGAAGGGGAAAAACAUGCAACUUAGGAUAUUCUACCCAGCAAGACUAUCAUUUAGAAUAGAAGGGAAGAGGAAGGACUUCCCAGACAAGCAAAAACUAAAAGAAUUCAGUGACACUAAACCUACUUUAAAAUAAAUAUUGAAGGGUGUUCUCCAAAUAGAAAAUAAGUAAAAUCCUAUAGGAAAGGAAAAAUCAAAAUAGUAAAGGCAAAUAUAUAUAAAGAUUGAAGAUCACUUAAAUAAGCCAGUAUAUAGAUUAAAAAAAAUAAAGUUUGUAAAAGUUACUUUAUCUACAAAAAAAAAGUAAAAGGAUAAACAUGAAGAUGUGAAACAGGAUAUCAAAUUCACAAAAUAUGGGUAGGGAGAGUAAAAAAAUUGUAGAUCUUUUAGAAUGUAUCUGAACUUGAAUGACAAUAAGUUUAAAGAAAGUAGAUUUGGUUAUGGAUCAAUGUAUUUGAACGCCAUGGUAACUACAAAUCACAAAUAUAAAGUAGUUUCACAAAAACCAAAAGAAAGGAACUCAAACAUACCACAAAAGGAAACCGUCAAACUAUAUAAGGAAAAACAAAAAGAAGAAGAAAUGAACAGAGUGGCUCUUGGAGAGGGCAUGGAAGAUCCACACCCUUUCCCCAUACCUUGCCUUAUGCAUCUCUUCCAUCUGGCUGUUGCUGCGUUCUAUCUUUUUUUUCCCUUAGGGCUGAAACUGUGGAAUUUGGAGGUUCCCAGGCUACGGGUCAAAUUGGAGCUGCAGAAAAGAAGCAAAAUCCUAUAGGAAAAUCCUAUAGCUAUAGUAACACCAGAUCUGAGUCACAUCUGCAAUCUACACUGCAGCUCAUGGCAACACUGGGUCAUUAACCCACUGAGUAAGGCCAGGGAUCAAAUCCAAUUCCUCACGGAUACUAGUUGGUCUCUUAACCUGCUGAGCCACAAAGCCACAAAGGGGACUCCCUGCAUUAUAACCUUUUAUAAAAAACCAGUGAUCUAGGAGGUUGAAAAUUCUAAGAAAAUGAAACUGAAAAACCCAAAACAAACCAGUAAAAAGUUCCCAUGUGUGAAUCGUAAAACUGCCAACUCCUGUAUGACCUUUGAAAAGACACUAAACUUCAACAAAAUUUAGUUUUUUCAUCUCUAAAAUGGAAAUAAUUAUCUCAGUGGAUUGCUGUGAGGUUCCAAUAAAUAAGAUUACCAGAUUUAGAAAAUAAAAAUAGUUGCCCAGUUAUAUUUGUAUUUCAGAUAAUUAGUGUGAGCAUGACCCAAAUAUUAUACAUUACAUACGACAUAUUUAUAGUAAAUAAUCUGUUAUCUAUCUGAAAUUCAAUUUUUUUUUGUUUUUUUUUUAGGGGGGGGCGGGGGCACACACGUGCGGCAUAUGGAAGUUCCCAGGCUAGGGGUCCAAUCGGAGGUGCAGCUUCUGGCCUACAGCACAGGUCACAGCAACACUGGAUUCUUAACCCACUGAGCAAGGCCAGGGAUUGAACCUGCAUCCUUAUGGAUACUAGUUGGGUUCGUUACCACUGAUGUACAAUGGGAACUCCCUGAAAUUCAAAUUUAAAUGGGUGUCCUAUACUUUAUUUGUAGUCUUACAGAGCUAAUCUAUAUUAAAAUGAC
ensembl:lncRNA